GAUGAAGAACGCAGCUAAAUGCGAUAAGUAAUGUGAAUUGCAGAAUUCAGUGAAUCAUCGAAUCUUUGAACGCACAUUGCGCCCCUUGGUAUUCCGAGGGGCAUGCCUGUUCGAGCGUCAUUUCAACCCUCAAGCACAGCUUGGUCUUGGGCUUCGCCGCUAACCCGGCGGGUCUUAAAAUCAGUGGCGGUGCCGUCGGGCCCUGAGCGCAGUAAUCUCUCUCGCUAUAGGGUCCCGGCGGAUGCUGGCCAGUAACCCCCAAUUUUCUAUGGUUGACCUCGGAUCAGGUAGGGAUACCCGCUGAACUUAAGCAUAUCAAUAAGCGGAGGA
rnacentral:misc_RNA from 1 species